rnacentral:lncRNA from 1 species
GCUCCGGAAAACCAAGGGAAGGGAGGACCGAGGCCUGAGCUUGCCUCGGGCCCCAGCGGCCUGGACCGACCGUGUCCGCCAGGCCAGGCAGGGAGGCCUUGGAGCAGUGCUGAGCCCUGUCCCCCACAGGACCCAGAAAUGUUGGCUCUGGCCCUUUCUCCUCUGGUUUUCCCUCCAAGGUACUGCCUGACCUGGGUUUUCAGAUGAGGCGCACCUUCUCCAUAACCAUUUUAUCCAAGGCCUGCUCUUCCUCCUUCGAAGAAUUCUUCCCAAACUCCACUUAGCUCGACUCCUCCACAUUCUCUCAGUAUUUAUAGACUCAGCUGACACAGUGUUCACAGAACUUAUGAUCAACAGUCCCACGUCGAGGCUCUGGGAGGGCUGGUAUUCACCUGCUGUGUGCCUCUCGUGUGCCCACUGUGGCUGCACCCACUCUAGCUGCCUGAUGCCCACACCUGCCCUGGUUGGCGGGCCUUGCCUUCCCAUCAGACUGGUGGCUCUCUGGUGCAGGGCCUUUUUCUUUGCUUUGGAUUUCUGCCUUGGGCUUAGGUGAGGAAGCAGAGGGCUGGGAGUGGCCGGUGACGAUGGGCUUGACACGCCUGGUUGUAAAAAGGAGGGGGGACGUGAGGUCAGUUCACACUUUUGGGGGGACCGACAAUCCAGUCUACGGAAAACGAACAGCUGCUUCGCUGUUUCUCAGUCUCCCUUGCUCCCUGCCUCCCAUUUCACCGCUCACCAGCUACUAUGCCAAGGGAAGAGAGCAGAAACGAAAUCUGAUAAGUGUGUGCCUCCCACGACCAUCUCUUACAAACCAACUCUCGCUUCGAUCCUAUAUGCCACGGCCCGUUUGCGGGGCCCUGCCUGCCCACGUGCCGGAAGCGGUGGGCUCAAAUCUUAGAAGCAAUCCAUCAGAUGCGGGGACACAUUCUUACGGUGCCCUGAAAUAAACUGUUAAGACUUUUGUUGCAUUCUCACGGAGCCUAAAACAAUAAAUUUGCUAAAACACAG